rnacentral:rRNA from 1 species
UUUUCGGUUGAUCCUGCCGGAGGCCACUGCUAUCGGGGUUCGAUUAAGCCAUGCGAGUCGAGAGGGUUUAGACCCUCGGCGGACUGCUCAGUAACACGUGGAUAACCUGCCCUAAGGUGGAGGAUAACCCCGGGAAACUGGGGAUAAUACUCCAUAGAUUAGAGAUACUGGAAUGUUCUUUAGUCAAAAGUUCUGGCGCCUUAGGAUGGAUCUGCGGUCGAUUAGGUUGUUGUUGGGGUAACGGCCCAACAAGCCUGUAAUCGAUACGGGUUGUGGGAGCAAUAGCCCGGAGAUGGAAUCUGAGACAAGAUUCCAGGCCCUACGGGGCGCAGCAGGCGCGAAAACUUUACAAUGCAGGAAACUGUGAUAAGGGAACCCCGAGUGCCCGUAUACGCGGGCUGUCCAGGUGUUUAAAAGUCAUCUGAAGAAAGGGCCGGGCAAGACCGGUGCCAGCCGCCGCGGUAAUACCGGCGGCUCGAGUGGUGGCCACUAUUAUUGGGCUUAAAGCGUCCGUAGCUGGACUGAUAAGUCUCUUGGGAAAUCCGCCGGCUCAACCGGCGGGCGUCUAAGGGAUACUGUUGGUCUAGGGACCGGGAGAGGUGAGAGGUACUCCGGGGGUAGGAGUGAAAUCCUGUAAUCCCCGGGGGACCACCGAUGGCGAAGGCAUCUCACCAGAACGGCUCCGACAGUGAGGGACGAAAGCUGGGGGAGCAAACCGGAUUAGAUACCCGGGUAGUCCCAGCCGUAAACUAUGCGCGUU